GGAGUGGAAAUAAAUAAAUUCUAACCAAAUCGUACACCAAGUUCACAGACGUUGGAAGCCCUUCGUCGAUCCGUCUCCCACUCUGUAACGGCAAUUGGAGCCAAAGCCUCGUCGCCCUUGGACCUGAUUCUGCGCGCAGGAAAAUAACCUAGGGUUUCGCCGUCGUUUAUUCAGCAACCGGGGAGGGGAUCUAGGUCAGGCGAAGAUGGGGAAACGCAAGGUGUUGAACAAGGAUUACCCGCCGGACUUCGAUCCGGCCAAAAUCCCUCGCCGGAAGCAACCCAAGAAUCAGCAGAUUAAAGUUCGGAUGAUGCUUCCGAUGAACAUCCGCUGCAACACCUGCGGCACCUACAUUUAUAAGGGUACGAAGUUCAAUUCACGCAAAGAGGACGUCAUUGGAGAGACAUAUUUGGGGAUCCAACUAUUUAGAUUCUACUUCAAGUGCUCAAGAUGCUCAGCUGAGAUAACAUUCAAGACAGAUCCUCAAAACUCUGAUUACACCGUUGAAUCCGGUGCUUCCCGUAACUUUGAGCCUGGGCGUGAUGAGGAUGAGAGGAAAUUUUCCGCAGAGCCAUCAAUGAAGGUGGAAAAAGCAACAGACUAUUUAACCAAAACUACUAGCACCGAUUAUGCUAAAGAUGGACCAGGGGUACCUCCCCCGGCCUACCCAGCGGUACCACUUGUAGUACCAGCUUCAGUGGUUUCACCAGUUCCCGCGACGAUCCCUACUCACCCUACUGAUAUGGUUGCGGCACGAACUCGGAUCCCAGCUUUGGCAGAGUCGAUGAAGAGCAGAUUCACACUAUUUCGCGGGGAGACUGAUCCGAGUGUAGGUCAGUCUUGGAUAGAGACUUUGGAGCGGACUUUCUCCUAUAUGGCUUGCUCCGAGUGGGAGAAGGCAGAGCUGGCUGUUUACCAUUUACGGGAUGAUGCCGACAUCUGGUGGGAUAUGCAGCGCUCGAUUAUAGGCGAGCAGCACAUCACUUGGGUGAAAUUUAGAGAGGCUUUUGAGAGCCAGUAUGUUCCACGGUCAUAUCAGAUGAAAUGCCGACAAGAUUUUCUGAGUCUUCGGCAGAACAACCGUACGGUGACAGAAUACAAUGCCGAAUUUAAUCGGUUGGCCAGAUUUUGUCCAGAGUUAGUUGCUAAGGACAGGUCUCGUACGCUUCAGUUUGUCCAGGGACUGGAUGGACAUCUGCAAGUAGAGAUUGCCGGUUUUGGUAAUUUAUCUUAUAUAGAGGCAUUGGAUAGAGUCCUUAUGAUUGAGGCGGCUCAGCAGAGAGUGAAUGCCGACAAGAAAAGGAAGCAGACAGAUCGGACUUCAGGACAGACCCAGCAGCCACAGGCUACCAGACAACAACAGAGUGGUUAUAGUCAAUCGGGUCAGGGUACUUUUGGAGCAUCUAGCCGACCUCAUAAAUCAAGGCGGACUUCCUCAGGACGUUUCUGGUCUUCUCAGCAGAACCAGAAACAGUCUUUCAGUGACAUGCACUGCACCCAAUGUGGAUCCAAAGAUCACAUCACAUCAGCCUGUUCCCUGGGACAGUCAGUUUGUUAUUAUUGUAAACUGCCUGGGCACAUGAGCCGAGAUUGCUCACUGAAGGCUCAGCAUGUGGCUUCCGUGAUUUCUAUUCAGGGAGGACAGUUCAGUCAGACAAGGACUCAGCGAGGGGGGCAGAAAGCCCAAUCUUCGCAUCGUUUGCAGAGGACAGCCCCUCCGACAGUAGCUGCAUAUGGCAUGUACAGACAGGAGCCUUCCAAUGCUUACACGGUAUCGCAGGGUUCUGUUUUGGGACCUCAGUAUCAGUCGCAACUUCAGCCACUGGUGCAGUAUCAGCUACAGCCCCAGCCACUGGUCCAGUACCAGUCGCAGCCUCAGCCACUAGUCCAGUAUCAGCUGCAGCCACAGUCAUUAGCUCAGUACCCGACGCAGCCCCAGCCACCGGUCCUGUAUCAGUUGCAGCCCUCAUAUCCAUCUUUGGCUCAGUAUCCAGCACCGCCUCAGUGGCAGGCUCAGACUCUGGCUCAGGCGCAGCAAUCUUUGACAGUACUACCACCUCCACCCCUGCCAGAGACGGGACGAACUCACGUGGUUACCAGAGAGGAUGCACAGCGGACCGACAGAUCAGUUUUCCACGGACAUUGAUUUGAGACGGGCGUCUUGACGUAGGAUUUCUGGUCAUGAUUGACUGAUAAAGGUUGAAGUUGUCAGGAGGUUCCAGUUGCUAGUCCCUUUGCCACAAGGAUUUUCACUUUGGUCUUUUGGUUUUCUGUUUAUUUGCUUAGAGCUAUGUUUCAGACUUGUACUGGUUUUGCACUCUGGAUUUUGUGUGUUUUGUCUUAAGGCAUUGUAAUGGUUGAACUUUUGCUU